rnacentral:rRNA from 1 species
GCAGUCGAGCGAACAGACGAGGAGCUUGCUCCUUUGACGUUAGCGGCGGACGGGUGAGUAACACGUAKGUAACCUACCUAUMAGACYGGSAUAACUUCGGGAAACCGGANCUAAUACCGGAUAAUAUUUCGAACCGCAYGGUUCSAUAGUGAAAGAUGGMUUUGCUAUCACUUAUAGAUGGACCUGCGCCGUAUUAGCUAGUUGGUAAGGUAACGGCUUACCAAGGCAACGAUACGUAGCCGACCUGAGAGGGUGAUCGGCCACACUGGAACUGAGACACGGUCCAGACUCCUACGGGAGGCAGCAGUAGGGAAUCUUCCGCAAUGGGCGAAAGCCUGACGGAGCAACGCCGCGUGAGUGAUGAAGGUCUUCGGAUCGUAAAACUCUGUUAUUAGGGAAGAACAAACGUGUAAKUAACUGUGCACGUCUUGACGGUACCUAAUCAGAAAGCCACGGCUAACUACGUGCCAGCAGCCGCGGUAAUACGUAG